rnacentral:rRNA from 1 species
AGAGUUUGAUCCUGGCUCAGAGCGAACGCUGGCGGCAGGCCUAACACAUGCAAGUCGAACGGACCCUUCGGGGUUAGUGGCGGACGGGUGAGUAACACGUGGGAACGUGCCUUUAGGUUCGGAAUAGCUCCUGGAAACGGGUGGUAAUGCCGAAUGUGCCCUUCGGGGGAAAGAUUUAUCGCCUUUAGAGCGGCCCGCGUCUGAUUAGCUAGUUGGUGAGGUAAAGGCUCACCAAGGCUACGAUCAGUAGCUGGUCUGAGAGGAUGACCAGCCACAUUGGGACUGAGACACGGCCCAAACUCCUACGGGAGGCAGCAGUGGGGAAUCUUGCGCAAUGGGCGAAAGCCUGACGCAGCCAUGCCGCGUGAAUGAUGAAGGUCUUAGGAUUGUAAAAUUCUUUCAGUAGGGACGAUAAUGACGGUACCUACAGAAGAAGCCCCGGCUAACUUCGUG